AGGCCAGCAUCGGUUUCGAGGGUCGGUCAAAGGCUCCGGGAAUGUAUCUACCCACGGGUAGACUUAUAGACCGGGGUGUCAUGCGACCUCUCGGGGCCGAGGAACGCGCUUCGGCUCGGAUGUUGGCGUAAUGGUUGUCAGCG
rnacentral:rRNA from 1 species